GUGCAAGUGCUGUGAAGGUAAGCUGA
rnacentral:piRNA from 1 species